rnacentral:rRNA from 1 species
UGGGGAAUUUUGGACAAUGGGCGCAAGCCUGAUCCAGCCAUGCCGCGUGCGGGAAGAAGGCCUUCGGGUUGUAAACCGCUUUUGUCAGGGAAGAAAUCUUCUGAGUUAAUACCUCGGGAGGAUGACGGUACCUGAAGAAUAAGCACCGGCUAACUACGUGCCAGCAGCCGCGGUAAUACGUAGGGUGCAAGCGUUAAUCGGAAUUACUGGGCGUAAAGCGUGCGCAGGCGGUUUUGUAAGACAGAGGUGAAAUCCCCGGGCUCAACCUGGGAACUGCCUUUGUGACUGCAAGGCUUGAGUGCGGCAGAGGGGAUGGAAUUCCGCGUGUAGCAGUGAAAUGCGUAGAUAUGCGGAGGAACACCGAUGGCGAAGGCAAUCCCCUGGGCCUGCACUGACGCUCAUGCACGAAAGCGUGGGGAGCAAACAGGAUUAGAUACCCUGGUAGUCCACGCCCUAAACGAUGUCAACUGGUUGUUGGGAAGGUUCCUUCUCAGUAACGUAGCUAACGCGUGAAGUUGACCGCCUGGGGAGUACGGCCGCAAGGUUGAAACUCAAAUGAAUUGACGGGGUCAUAGCUG